rnacentral:lncRNA from 1 species
CCCCUAUUUAAGUUUCUUCAUCCGGAGAUAUGAAGAUCGAAAUCUUUGUAUUGACGGGAUUUAAGAGACUUAAAUAUAGAAUACACAAUUUUGGACCUAAGAUACCGAAAAAUUGUUAUGAUGCAAAUAUGGAUGCAAGACUCUAAAUCUUGUGGGAAGAGACGUCACAAGAGACAAACUACUACUACUAGAGAAACCAGGAAUAUGACAAAGAAAAUCCACAGGGGAAUAACAAAAGUGACCCGACUGAGGAAGAGAAAUAACAAAAAAGGAUGUCCAAGUCCAUUAAGGAAAGGAAUCCAACUCCACUGGAGAAAUGAUAUAAUUUCACUGGGGAAGAGAUUACCUACUAUCAUGC